ACGAAGCAUUUACAAAUACAAUGCACACACUAUUUUAAAAUACUAACCAAACACACAAUACUUUCAAGUUCAUCACGACCAGACCCAUAAAACAACAACAAACGUCCCUCUAAGACAAGCUCAUCGGAUGUUUCUGCUAUCCGAGAAUAAUAAAAAGAAACAAUGAUUACAGAUAUAAGUUGGUUAUACCAACUACACACCACACGACACAGUUUCAAACACACAAAAAUUGGGUGCCUUUGUUUUUGGUCUGUGAAUCCUAAGGAUGUUAAAGUAACAAGAGAAAUUAAAAGAGAGAAACUCACAAAUGGAGGGUUUACAAAAAAAAAAAAAAAAAAAAAAAAAAAAAAAAAGAAACUCACAAAUGGAGAGACUGUUUUCCUUUUUAAUCGAUCCAACGUGUGAUACCAUCAUCUCCUACCAUUGCCAAUAUUUCCACACGAACGUCCAACACCGCCUACAAAAUUGGUUUUCAACAUUGACACAAAUUAUUUCAGCUUUCCAAGAAUUAGGGUUUUCCAACUUCGGACCAUUUUGUAUAAGGACAGAGACUUACCGAGGAAUUCCUGCAAUUAACAAGCCGGCAUUCGUCCAGAGAACCUUCUAGACUCCAACUCUCCCACACGUCAAAACUAUGGCUAGCAAACACAAACUCCAUUCUUCUAUUGAUCUGCACACACACACACACAACCACUUUUAGUUUCCACAAGAGCACCUUGGAGUUAUCAAUGGAAGUAACACUCUGUAAUGUAAGAGGUACCUGCAGCAACUUCCCACCAGCAGCAAAUGAUCUCAAGCCAACAGUGUCCUAGAGAACAAGUUCAUGCACCAAAACCAAUUAUAACGGGCUAUCUGGCAUGGUAAGCAAAAUAAAUGACAAGGAAGAGAGAGAGAGAGAGAGAAAAAAAAUAUUACCUUGUUUCUGUAUGCGAUGAUGAAUUGUGCAGCAGGAUCCCGUUUGGAUACAUUGGACAAAGUAUCGAGGAACCAACCACCGUUUUUCGUUCUUUGCCUGGAAACGUGAAGGCCUGAGAGGUCUUUCGCAUA
rnacentral:lncRNA from 1 species